rnacentral:tRNA from 1 species
GGGUGGGUUGGCUCAGUCGUUAGAGCGUAGGUCUCGUAACCGAAAGGUCACAGGAUCGAAUCCCGCUAGAGAGGCUGACCCG